UACCUGCAGCUCGAGUGGUAACCGCUAUUAUUGGGCCUAAAGCGUCCGUAGCCGGUUUGGUAAAUAUCUGGGUAAGUCGUGAGGCUUAACUUCACGAAUUUCGGAUAGACUGCCAGACUUGGGAUCGGGGGAGGUCAGAGGUACUCCAGGGGUAGCGGUGAAAUGUUGUAAUCCUUGGAGGACCACCGGUAGCGAAGGCGUCUGACUAGAACGAGUCCGACGGUGAGGGACGAAGCCCUGGGGCGCAAACCGGAUUAGAUACCCGGGUAGUCCAGGGUGUAAACGAUGUGGACUUUGUAUUGGAGGUCCCACGUGGGCGUCCAGUGCAGAAGAGAAGUUGUUAAGCCCACCGCCUGGGAAGUACGGUCGCAAGGCUGAAACUUAAAGGAAUUGGCGGGGAGCACAGCAACGGGAGGAGCGUGCGGUUU
rnacentral:rRNA from 1 species